AAGCGUUAAUCGGAAUUACUGGGCGUAAAGCGUGCGCAGGCGGUUUUGUAAGUCAGAUGUGAAAUCCCCGGGCUUAACCUGGGAACCGCAUUUGUGACUGCAUAGCUGGAGUACGGCAGAGGGGGAUGGAAUUCCGCGUGUAGCAGUGAAAUGCGUAGAUAUGCGGAGGAACACCGAUGGCGAAGGCAGUCCCCUGGGCCUGUACUGACGCUCAUGCACGAAAGCGUGGGGAGCAAACAGG
rnacentral:rRNA from 1 species